GACGUAGGGCGCGAGCGUUGUCCGGAAUUAUUGGGCGUAAAGAGCUCGUAGGCGGCUUGUCGCGUCGGAUGUGAAAGCCCGGGGCUUAACCCCGGGUCUGCAUUCGAUACGGGCAGGCUAGAGUGUGGUAGGGGAGAUCGGAAUUCCUGGUGUAGCGGUGAAAUGCGCAGAUAUCAGGAGGAACACCGGUGGCGAAGGCGGCACUCUGGGCCGGUACUGACGCUGAGGAGCGAAAGCGUGGGGAGCAAACAGG
rnacentral:rRNA from 1 species